UACGUAGGGGGCAAGCGUUGUCCGGAAUUAUUGGGCGUAAAGAGCUCGUAGGCGGUCUGUUGCGUCCGCUGUGAAAACCCGGGGCUUAACCCCUGGCUUGCAGUGGAUACGGACAGACUAGAGGUAGGUAAGGGAGAAUGGAAUUCCCGGUGUAGCGGUGAAAUGCGCAGAUAUCGGGAGGAACACCGGUGGCGAAGGCGGUUCUCUGGGCCUUACCUGACGCUGAGGAGCGAAAGCGUGGGGAGCGAACAGG
rnacentral:rRNA from 1 species